rnacentral:rRNA from 1 species
AACGAACGCUGGCGGCAGGCUUAACACAUGCAAGUCGAGCGCCCCGCAAGGGGAGCGGCAGACGGGUGAGUAACGCGUGGGAAUCUACCCAGCUCUACGGAAUAACCCAGGGAAACUUGGACUAAUACCGUAUACGUCCGAGAGGAGAAAGAUUUAUCGGAGUUGGAUGAGCCCGCGUUGGAUUAGGUAGUUGGUGGGGUAAUGGCCUACCAAGCCGACGAUCCAUAGCUGGUCUGAGAGGAUGAUCAGCCACACUGGGACUGAGACACGGCCCAGACUCCUACGGGAGGCAGCAGUGGGGAAUAUUGGACAAUGGGCGAAAGCCUGAUCCAGCCAUGCCGCGUGAGUGAUGAAGGCCCUAGGGCUGUAAAGCUCUUUCACCGGUGAAGAUAAUGACGGUAACCGGAGAAGAAGCCCCGGCUAACUUCGUGCCAGCCGCCGCGGUAACAC